UACAGAGGGUGCAAGCGUUAAUCGGAGUUACUGGGCGUAAAGGGCGCGUAGGUGGUUAGUUAAGUGAGAUGUGAAAAGCCUGGGCUUAACCUAGGACGUACAUUUUAAACUGACGAGCUAGAGUACUGUAGAGGGUAGUGGAAUUUCCGGUGUAGCGGUGAAAUGCGUAGAGAUCGGAAGGAACACCAGUGGCGAAAGCGACUACCUGGACAGAUACUGACGCUGAGGCGCGAAAGCGUGGGGAGCAAACAGG
rnacentral:rRNA from 1 species